UACGUAGGGUCCGAGCGUUGUCCGGAAUUACUGGGCGUAAAGAGCUCGUAGGUGGUUUGUCGCGUUGUCCGUGAAAACUCACAGCUCAACUGUGGGCGUGCGGGCGAUACGGGCAGACUGGAGUACUGCAGGGGAGACUGGAAUUCCUGGUGUAGCGGUGGAAUGCGCAGAUAUCGGGAGGAACACCGGUGGCGAAGGCGGCGAUCUGGGUAGAUACUGACGCUGAGGUGCGAAAGCGUGGGGAGCAAACAGGG
rnacentral:rRNA from 1 species